GUUUUUAUCCUGGUUUUUUUGGAGCAUGAGGUUAUCUCUCAGUUUUUCCGUGUCCAAAAUAAAAGGACAAAAACUGUUCUUGAAAACCGAGAGAUAACCUCAUGCUCCAAGAAAACCAGGAUAAAAAA
rnacentral:miRNA from 2 species